rnacentral:rRNA from 1 species
AGAGUUUGAUCCUGGCUCAGGAUGAAUUCUGGCGGCGUGCUUAACACAUGCAAGUCGAACGAAGCAUUUACACGGAAUCCCUCGGGAGGAAGUGUGAAUGACUGAGUGGCGGACGGGUGAGUAACGCGUGGGCAACCUGCCCCGUACCGGGGGAUAACAGCCGGAAACGGCUGCUAAUACCGCAUAUGCUUUGCGGGCCCUGUGUGGGACAAAGUGAAAAACUCCGGUGGCGCAAGAGGGACCCGCCUCUGAUUAGCUGGUGGGCGGGGUAAAGGCCCACCAAGGCGACUAUCAGUAGCCGGCCUGAGAGGGUGGACGGCCACAUUGAGACUGAGACACGGCCCAGACUCCUACGGGAGGUAGCAGUGGGGAAUAUUGGACAAUGGGGGGAAACCCUGAUCCAGCGACGCCGCGUGAGGGAAGAAGGUUUUCGGAUUGUAAACCUCUGUCAGUGGGGACGAUAAUGACGGUACCCACGGAGGAAGCCACGGCUAACUACGUGCCAGCAGCCGCGGUAAUACGUAGGUGGCAAGCGUUGUCCGGAAUUACUGGGUGUAAAGGGAGCGUAGGCGGGAUGUCAAGUCAGAAGUGAAAAUUAUGGGCUCAACUCAUAACCUGCUUUUGAAACUGAUAUUCUUGAGUGAAGUAGAGGCAAGCGGAAUUCCUAGUGUAGCGGUGAAAUGCGUAGAUAUUAGGAGGAACACCAGUGGCGAAGGCGGCUUGCUGGGCUUUUACUGACGCUGAGGCUCGAAAGCGUGGGGAGCAAACAGGAUUAGAUACCCUGGUAGUCCAUGCUGUAAACGAUGAUUACUAGGUGUGGGGGGGUUGAACCCUUCCGUGCCGGAGUUAACACAAUAAGUAAUCCACCUGGGGAGUACGACCGCAAGGUUGAAACUCAAAGGAAUUGACGGGGGCCCGCACAAGCAGUGGAGUAUGUGGAUUAAUUCGAUGCAACGCGAAGAACCUUACCAGGUCUUGACAUCAAGUGCAAGUCCCAGAGAUGGGAUCCUCUCUUCGGAGACACGAAGACAGGUGGUGCAUGGUUGUCGUCAGCUCGUGUCGUGAGAUGUUGGGUUAAGUCCCGCAACGAGCGCAACCCUUAUGAUUAGUUGCUACGCAAGAGCACUCUGAUCAGACUGCCGUUGACAAAACGGAGGAAGGUGGGGAUGAGGUCAAAUCAUCAUGCCCCUUACGACCUGGGCCUCACACGUACUACAAUGGCGUUUAACAAAGAGCAGCAAAACCGCGAGGUGGAGCAAAUCUCCAAAAAACGUCUCAGUUCGGAUUGUAGGCUGCAACCCGCCUGCAUGAAGUCGGAAUUGCUAGUAAUCGUAGAUCAGCAUGCUACGGUGAAUACGUUCCCGGGCCUUGCACACACCGCCCGUCA